rnacentral:lncRNA from 1 species
AUGAUGUUUGGAGAGGAAGUGUCGGGCAGAUGUUUGGCAAAAUGGCCUACUUUUUUCAAGCCUAGGAUCCUGACAGACUGCAAAAAACUGACUUCUAAUGAGCACACUGAAGACCUCUUGUCUGUGCAGCACGACUCAGGAUGGGAGAGUGACCUGUCAAGCAUUCUACUGUUGGUUCACUUGCUUCCUCCUACCUCUAAAGGCCACAAGAAGAGUGCCAAAAUCAGCUCUUGUCAAGCUGCUGACCAUGUUGUGAGAUUACAGAUGGGAGCCAGUGUUGAAACCUUCCUUGCUGGUGUGGAGCCGGGAGAGCCCUUCCUCCUGUGUGUUGGUGAGAAGAAGAACAGCAUCCAAAGAUACUAUGUCAUCAUUGAUCACAAGGCCAUCCCUUGCAAGGCACAGACAUCCUUGGCAGCUUUUGAUGUGCUCUUCAAAGCACACUUCAUCUUCAGUGUCAGCUACCAUGAAUCCCUCUACAACUUCUAUACGUUCAUCCAAACCACAGUUUUUAACAUUGACGUGGGAAGUGCCAAGGAAAGUCCCAGGGUCAAGGAACUAAGAGCAAGAUUUUUGCGCAACGCUUGAGGUGAUAAAUAUCCUUCGAUGCAAAUAUGUUUCUUUGUAAUGUCUGUAAGGCACACCACAAAAGUUCUACAUUGCUUUGUCAGCAUUUAAGACUCCACCACGGUCUAUAUCCUGGAAAGACAUUACGUUUGAAAUGUGGACAGCCGGGAUGUUGUUUAUCAUUUUGCACUUAUUCAGGUUUCAAGAAGCAUCUUGUUCAUUUCCAUAGAGAUGUUGCUUUAACUAAUACUGCUGACAAUGUGGACACUCAGAAUGAAGUUGGUGAGCCCUCAACUUCAUAGGCAGUCAGUACAGACGCUCCAAUAUCUACCCAGCCCUCUGUUG